UGAUUAAUAACCAAAAGAGUAUUACCAUACUUUUCUGGUAAUACUAGCAAUCGGUUAAGAUAUGAGAAAUGCUUAAUUGAUUAUCGAGAGCAAAUACAUGGAGUUGAACUCGAUAAAUUAAGUAAGAACCGGUUUCGAGGACGAAACCUCUUUAAGGGGGGGUAGACUUGUAACACCCCGAAAACGGGUUUGGUAAUCAAACCCCGUUAGCACUAAAAGACGGGUAAAAUACCGUUAGCGGUAAAACUUAUCCGGUAAAUAUUAGGAUUUUAAAUAAUUAAUCCUAAUAUUAGAUAAGAAGUGAAUAAAUGCUUGAGACAAUAAAGUUAUGAAAGGCCCGAGUUAACGGGACUUAAAAUAUAACGGGUUAUAACUUCCCGAACCUAUUAAGUUAACUAGGGAUAAUUAACCUAGUUAUUAGUAUGAGGCUAAGUGAUAAAUAGUGAGUUGUAGCUUCAAAUGAUCAAAAUAAAACAUGGGGGACUAGGGUUGCCUAGUGAAGAAACUUGUUUUAAUUAAAUCAAGAAAUAAAACACAACACACACUAAGAGUGUGUGUGUGUGUGCGUACGACCAGGAGGGGCUCCAAGGAGCCAAACCCUAGCUUGAUCAAUACCUUCAAAUUGGAGGAUCAAUUCAAGACCAAAUCAAUGCAUGAACGCGUAUAAACGAUCACCGAGUCAAGAGGAUCGAAAGGUGGAGGCUUGGGAAAGAAGCGGCCAAACGAAUCAAGCACGUGAAGAAAAAGCGUAUUCGGGUGCGAGGAGUAAAUGUGAAAUGGGUAUUAGCAACGCCAUGGAUUAGCGGUUAUAAAAGCAAGGUAUUAAAAACGGGUUGAUAUAUUGACCCACGCCAGGUAUGUGAAACAGGGUAACACUCAUUUAGAAUAUGUGGUUCAACGAGUGCUAAUAGAAGUCAAAAUAAACAUUUGGUUACUUGAUAAGUAAACCAAAUGUUUAAUAUAGUGAACAUUGCGUUGGGAAGCUUAAUGACUUUUCAAACAAAAUCAUAAGUUAAAAGAGGGAUUUCGGGUCGAAUAUACUUCCAAAAGCCCUUCAUCGUAAAUGAUUGGCUAAACGGACUAAAACGCCCUUAUAAGCUAAAUUGGACAAGCUACCUUUAAAGGUAGUUUUGAAACGAGUUUUACGAUCAAGUAAGUAAUUGAAAUAAGUAUUAAGUCGCAAAAGAUGUAAACCUUUGGUCAAAUGACUCUAUACGAGUCUCUGUCGUAAAUUUAGUAAUCCGACGAGAAAAACUCGGAUUAUUUAGAUUUCCCCCUUAAGUCCACCACAAAUAAGUUUGUGGUGGAAGAUCACUUGAUAAGAAAUGUUGUAUGAUAAUGCUAGAAAUGAAUGAGAGCGUUUCAUGGUCAAAAUAUGCAUAAACACCCUUAACGGGUCAAAAUAUGCAUAGGAGCGUAAAUGGGUUUAAGAUACGUAAGGAACCCGCGACUUGAACCUAAUAUGAUAGAAAUUAUUGAAAUUAUGAUUACCGUGAGAAUAAGGAUCAAACAAACAUGUUUCGUUUGAUAAAAACAUGAAUGGGUCAAA